UUCUGGGAAAUUUAAUUCAAUCCGGACCCAUAGGUGUGACAGAAGGUGACUUGGAGAUAACAGAAAACCAGCCAGAGCUUCAGUUAAAGCUUGGGUCUGGGGAGGGUAGAAGGGGAGGGAGUGCAACUAGCACCUCCACGUGGGAAACCCUGGGGACUUACAAAUAGAAUAUGUGGCUUAUUACUUUGGGGCGCUGCGGUGGGAGUCAGGGGAGGGUCUGGACAAAUGGUGAUUUCCCUGCUUUUUUGCAGAUGGGGAGUGUCUCCCAAGUGCCCUGCUUAUCCCAGUUAGGCAAUUCAUAGCUUUAAUUCUAGCUCUAACUAGCUGCAUGAUCUUUUUUGUUUUUAAAGUUUUUUUGAAGUAUGGUUGAUUUGCUAGGUUGUCAUGAUUUCUGCUGUAGCUGCAUGGCCUUGAAUGUUGUUUUCCUCAUCCAUGUGAUAUAGAAGCUCUGACCUUUUAGGACUGCUCUGGUCCUCUUGGCCGGAUAUUCUGCUUUCAAAAAUCUCUGAUCCUGAUUUUCCUUCUGGCACAGUGAGUUAAGGCUCCAGUGUUGUCAUUGCAGCGUGGGGAAAAAAAAAAAAAAUCUCUGAUUUCUUCCCACAUUGUGCCUCAGUCUUGGAAUGUCACCCACGAGGUGUUCCUAUAACAACGAUUUUUUUUUUUCAUUCUAGGAUUCUGGAGGUUGAAUAACUUAGGUUUUGAGAAAGAUCUCAACCCAGGGCCCUGGAGACAAGACUCUGUAGGGUGGAACUCAGGUUCUGCAGCUGAGGAUGGCAGUAGAUGGGGGCUGGCUGGCAGGUGUAGCCCACAGAAGUGUUACUGUGCAGCUUUAACAUCAACACCACGACAGCAGCGCCAGAGGUGGCAGACAGAUAACAAAGACAUUAAUUACAUCAGCCAUGCCAGGUGGGCUCCCUCUACAGAAACUCAGAAAGUGGAGAUAAGAGCCAUAAGCUCCUCCUGAGGUUCAGAGUGAGAGGAAAUCAACACCCCUACCACCCUCACAUGCCCUCAGACAAUCUGGCAAAACAGCAGGCUGUCCAUCAUCCAAGGAGGAAAACUGGUCCCGAUGUGCUCAGGGCCAUAAAAGAGUGGGGUUGAUGCCAGCUAUAAAAUGACAUGAGGCAGCUUAAGGGCCUACGCAGGUGAUCACAGCUAGAAAGUAUAGGUUUUCAUGAAACAUCCUGAAAAGUCCAAAUUCCUGAUUCUGGAAUCCACAGCGCUCUGAUGAAUUCCAGCCUCAUUUCUCAGCUGCCUCCUUCCCUAAACUCACUAGUCUCUUUUAGCUCCCAGGGUCCUCUGUCUGUAUGAUAGGCAUUAUCAGAUUGUAUCACAUUGCUUACCUGCUGAACUUACACACCUGCCUGGAAGAUCCUUAAAGGUAGAGACUAUAUCUUAUUUAUUUUUUAAAUUCGGCACAUGGUAGGACAAAUAGAGCUUCCCUAUUCUGGCCCAUGGAGUAAGUUCUCGAAACUUUUUUGUUGUUGAAGGAAGGAAAGAGGAAGGAAGGAAGGGAGGGAGGAAGAAGGGAGGGAAGCAAGGAAAGAAGAGAUUCCAGCCAUUCUUCGUAGGUAAUAGGCCACUCCAGCAAGAAGCAUGGCUGUUGGGGUGGACACCAUUCACCAGGAUCCUCAGUUGACAGACGUAAAGCAAAUCUUUGCUCAUACAGCCUUCAGCUGCACAAGGGACCAUUAACUGUCUCUCUUUCUGUUCCCUGUCAAUCACUCCCCUAGGUGCACCCAUGCCUUUC
rnacentral:lncRNA from 1 species